ensembl:lncRNA
UUAAAAUUACCGGAAAGUCAAAUUUAACAUUAAGGGUCAUUGUCUUCAUCCGUCACUUGUGUUCAAUCCCGGACGCACCACCAGAGGGCACCGAUGGACCAACACGCUGCUCUGCUCCCCAACAGGGGACGACAACAGCGUGUGUUGUAGCCAUGACGAUGCAUGUUUCGUGUUUUUGUACGGCGGUUCGAUGCCUUCGUGUCACUGUGGUGGACGUUUGGUGGAGGAACCAGACUGAGCGUGGGACGGCAGCAGCAGCAGCUGGGGAGGAGAGCAGGAGCCCCGGGGUGCUGGGGGGGGGGCGCCCUCUACAGCUGGAGCAGCACCCUGGAGGCUCCCUGCAGACCAGUGGGCCGAGUUGGG